UACGUAGGGUGCAAGCGUUAAUCGGAAUUACUGGGCGUAAAGCGUGUGUAGGCGGUUCGGAAAGAAAGAUGUGAAAUCCCAGGGCUCAACCUUGGAACUGCAUUUUUAACUGCCGAGCUAGAGUAUGUCAGAGGGGGGUAGAAUUCCACGUGUAGCAGUGAAAUGCGUAGAGAUGUGGAGGAAUACCGAUGGCGAAGGCAGCCCCCUGGACUGAUACUGACACUGAGGUGCGAAAGCGUGGGGAGCAAACAGG
rnacentral:rRNA from 1 species